rnacentral:rRNA from 1 species
GGGAUUGCCCUAGUAACGGCGAGUGAAGCGGCAACAGCUCAAAUUUGAAAUCUGGCUCUUUCAGAGUCCGAGUUGUAAUUUGCAGAGGGCGCUUUGGCGUUGGCAGCGGUCCAAGUUCUUUGGAACAGGACGUCACAGAGGGUGAGAAUCCCGUACGUGGUCGCUAGCCUUCGCCGUGUAAAGCCCCUUCGACGAGUCGAGUUGUUUGGGAAUGCAGCUCUAAAUGGGAGGUAAAUUUCUUCUAAAGCUAAAUACUGGCCAGAGACCGAUAGCGCACAAGUAGAGUGAUCGAAAGAUGAAAAGCACUUUGGAAAGAGAGUCAAAUAGCACGUGAAAUUGUUGAAAGGGAAGCGCUUGCAGCCAGACUUGCCUGUAGUUGCUUAUCUAGACUUUUGUCUAGUGCACUCUUCUGCGGGCAGGCCAGCAUCAGUCUAGGCGGUUGGAUAAAGGUCUCUGUCAUGUACCUCUCUUCGGGGAGGCCUUAUAGGGGAGACGACAUGCAACCAGCCUGGACUGAGGUCCGCGCAUCUGCUAGGAUGCUGGCGUAAUGGCUGUAAGCGGCCCGUCUUGAAACACGGACCAAGGAGUCUAACAUCUAUGCGAGUGUUUGGGUGUCAAGCCCAGACGCGUAAUGAAAGUGAACGGAGGUGGGAACCCUUUUGGGUGCACCAUCGACCGAUCCUGAUGUCUUCGGAUGGAUUUGAGUAAGAGCAUGGCUGUUGGGACCCGAAAGAUGGUGAACUAUGCUUGAAUAGGGUGAAGCCAGAGGAAACUCUGGUGGAGGCUCGCAGCGGUUCUGACGUGCAAAUCGAUCGUCAAAUUUGGGCAUAGGGGCG